rnacentral:rRNA from 1 species
UACAGGGGGUGCAAACGUUGCUCGGAAUUAUUGGGCGUAAAGCGCGCGUAGGCGGCUACUUAAGUCGGAUGUGAAAGCCCUUGGCUCAACUGAGGAAGUGCACCCGAAACUGAGUGGCUUGAGUACGAAAGAGGGUCGCGGAAUUCCCGGUGUAGAGGUGAAAUUCGUAGAUAUCGGGAGGAACACCGGUGGCGAAGGCGGCGACCUGGGUCGAUACUGACGCUGAUGCGCGAAAGCCAGGGGAGCAAACGGG